UCUUACGAAAGAGCAAAGAAGGUAGUUAUUUGAGAUGAAAUCUACUACUGGUGAAGAUGCUGUGAA
rnacentral:pre_miRNA from 1 species